AAUCAACGCUGGCGGCGUGCCUCAGACAUGCAAGUCGAACGCGAAAGUCCCCUUCGGGGGACGAAGUAGAGUGGCGCACGGGUGAGUAACACGUAGGUAAUCUACCUUUGGAUGGGGAAUAACAACCGGAAACGGUUGCUAAUACCGCAUAAUGCAGCGGCACCUAAUGGUGACAGUUGUUAAAGCGGGGGAUCGAAAGACCUCGCGUCUAAAGAGGAGCCUGCGGCGGAUUAGCUAGUUGGUAAGGAAUGGCUUACCAAGGCUACGAUCCGUAACCGGCCUGAGAGGGCGGUCGGUCACACUGACACUGACAUACGGGUCAGACUCCUACGGGAGGGCAGCAGUCGGGAAUUUUGGGCAAUGGGCGAAAGCCUGACCCAGCAACGCCGCGUGAAGGAUGAAAUCCCUCGGGAUGUAAACUUCG
rnacentral:rRNA from 1 species